UCGACGAUGAUCCCAGCUUGCUGGGGGAUUAGUGGCGAACGGGUCAGUAACACGUGAGUAACCUGCCCUUAACUCUGGGAUAAGCCUGGGAAACUGGGUCUAAUACCGGAUAUGACUCCUCAUCGCAUGGUGGGGGGUGGAAAGCUUUAUUGUGGUUUUGGAUGGACUCGCGGCCUAUCAGCUUGUUGGUGAGGUAAUGGCUCACCAAGGCGACGACGGGUAGCCGGCCUGAGAGGGUGACCGGCCACACUGGGACUGAGACACGGCCCAGACUCCUACGGGAGGCAGCAGUGGGGAAUAUUGCACAAUGGGCGAAAGCCUGAUGCAGCGACGCCGCGUGAGGGAUGACGGCCUUCGGGUUGUAAACCUCUUUCAGUAGGGAAGAAGCGAAAGUGACGGUACCUGCAGAAGAAGCGCCGGCUAACUACGUGCCAGCAGCCGCGGUAAUACGUAGGGCGCAAGCGUUAUCCGGAAUUAUUGGGCGUAAAGAGCUCGUAGGCGGUUUGUCGCGUCUGCCGUGAAAGUCCGGGGCUCAACUCCGGAUCUGCGGUGGGUACGGGCAGACUAGAGUGAUGUAGGGGAGACUGGAAUUCCUGGUGUAGCGGUGAAAUGCGCAGAUAUCAGGAGGAACACCGAUGGCGAAGGCAGGUCUCUGGGCAUUAACUGACGCUGAGGAGCGAAAGCAUGGGGAGUGAACAGGAUUAGAUACCCUGGUAGUCCAUGCCGUAAACGUUGGGCACUAGGUGUGGGGGACAUUCCACGUUUUCCGCGCCGUAGCUAACGCAUUAAGU
rnacentral:rRNA from 1 species